rnacentral:rRNA from 1 species
GACGAACGCUGGCGGCGUGCUUAACACAUGCAAGUCGAGCGGUAAGGCCCUUUGGGGUACACGAGCGGCGAACGGGUGAGUAACACGUGAGUAAUCUGCCUUUGGCUUGGGAAUAACUUCGGGAAAUCGGGGCUAAUGCCUGAUGUUUACUGUCUGCUGCAUGGUGGGUGGUGGAAAGAUUUUUUGGCCAGGGAUGAGCUCGCGGUCUAUCAGCUUGUUGGUGGGGUAAUGGCUACCAAGGCUUUGACGGGUAGCCGGCCUGAGAGGGUGUUCGGCCACACUGGGGACUGAGACACGGCCCAGACUCCUACGGGAGGCAGCAGUGGGGAAUAUUGCGCAAUGGGCGUAAGCCUGACGCAGCGACGCCGCGU